rnacentral:lncRNA from 1 species
AUUUUAGCUUCUUUCCUCCCUCUUAUUGUAAGGUUCUGUCAUUUAAAAUAAAAAAAAAUUAUUUAUAAAAAUUUUGAAAAAUAUAUAAAAAAUAAUAAAAAUAUAUAAUUUAUUUUAUUCAAACUUUUUUAUUUUUUAUUUUUCAAUUUAAAAUCCUAUCACAAUUUAAUAUAUAUAUAUAUAUAUUAAUAUUUAAAUUUAAUUCAAGCUAAAUAAAAAAAAAAAAACUGAUAUGACUCAAACAAAACAUUAAAAUUUUAAAUUAAUUUUUUCUUUUUUCGAUUUUUUUCUCACCAUUAGCCUACUCGUCGUACCUGUUUUGCUUCUGCGUCUUGAAGGAGCGACCUAAUAUCCUGAAAAUUGGCGGUCAUUUUUCGGAUUUCUUCUUCAAGUCACAGAGCCACCCCAACUUUGUUUUUUAUCUCUUCGGGUAUCAUUAUCAAGGAACCCAACUUCUCCAGAACUGCUGAAACAAUUAAUUUCGCCAUUGAUUUUUUCCUCAGAUUGAUCAAACAGUACCAAAGACCACUCCAAAUUAUUUUAUAGGAAGAAAAACCCCGAGAAAAGAAGAAAAAAAAAGUGUGAAGGUAGGUUGGAAUUGGGGUUUCUGUUUGCUGGUGAAGGUAUAUCUUCCUUCUUUUGGAUCUUCUUUCUGUGCACGCAAAGUUCUAUAAAUAAAUUAGACUUCGACUACAAGAUUAUGAACAUUAAAACCCUUUGUUACCAAGGCACCGCAAAUUAGUGGAAACACUCCUACUUUAGUCAGUGUGCACAAAUAUAUGGUUUCUCACUUUCGCGCACUUUCUGGUUUCUUAUAAACAUUAUACACCGACUCUAGUUUUGGGUUUAUUCUCGCCGACUCAGUUUAAGUUUUUUU